AAUCAACGCUGGCGGCGUGCCUCAGACAUGCAAGUCGAACGCGAAAUUUCCCUUCGGGGAGAAGUAGAGUGGCGCACGGGUGAGUAACACGUAGGUAAUUUGCCUUUGGGUGGGAAUAACUCAGGGAAACUUGAGCUAAUACCGCAUAAUGCAGCGGCUCGACAUCGAGACAGUUGUUAAAGCGGGGGAUUGGAGCAAUCCGACCUCGCGCCUAAAGAGAAGCCUGCGGCAGAUUAGCUAGUUGGUAAGGUAAUGGCUUACCAAGGCGACGAUCUGUAACCGGCCUGAGAGGGCGGUCGGUCACACUGACACUGACAUACGGGUCAGACUCCUACGGGAGGCAGCAGUC
rnacentral:rRNA from 1 species